rnacentral:rRNA from 1 species
GGGUCAGUAGGUUGGUCGUGCCACCGGUACGUACUGGUCUCACUGAUUCCUCCUUCCUGAAGAGCCGUAAUGCCAUUAAUUUGGCGUUGCGGGGAAACAGGACUGUUACUUUGAAAAAAUUAGAGUGUUUAAAGCAAGCUAACGCUUGAAUACAUUAGCAUGGAAUAAUGAAAUAGGACGAUCGAUCCUAUUUUGUUGGUUUCUAGGAUUGACGUA